UUCUAAAAUAUUUUUUUACCGAAUAACGGGAAAACCAAGUUUUUUUGGCCCAUUUUUUUACCGUUCUUUUUUGUAUUUCUAUCUUUUUUUUUUUCUUAAACAGAUAGAUGAAAGAAAUUUAUGCUGUAGAUAGGAUAGAAAGGACUAUAAACGUGCGUCGUACAGAUUGGACUGAAGCAUUUUAUUAAAGCUGAAAUAAUAAGUUUUCAGAUGAUGUAAAAGUUAUUUGUUUGCAUUCAAAAAAUUCCAAAUCUUUUUGUAGAUGUCGUGCAGACAUGACUGAGG